UACGUAGGGUGCAAGCGUUGUCCGGAAUUAUUGGGCGUAAAGAGCUCGUAGGCGGUCUGUCGCGUCGGAUGUGAAAACCCAGGGCUCAACCCUGGGCCUGCAUUCGAUACGGGCAGACUAGAGUUCGGUAGGGGAGACUGGAAUUCCUGGUGUAGCGGUGAAAUGCGCAGAUAUCAGGAGGAACACCGAUGGCGAAGGCAGGUCUCUGGGCUGACACUGACGCUCAUGCACGAAAGCGUGGGGAGCAAACAGG
rnacentral:rRNA from 1 species